GAACUGCGAUAAGUAAUGUGAAUUGCAGAAUUCAGUGAAUCAUCGAGUCUUUGAACGCACAUUGCGCCCCCUGACAUUCCGGGGGGCAUGCCUGUCCGAGCGUCAUUGCUGCCCUUCAAGCCCGGCUUGUGUGUUGGGUCGUCGUCCCCUCCGGGGGACGGGCCCGAAAGGCAGCGGCGGCACCGCGUCCGGUCCUCGAGCGUAUGGGGCUUUGUCACCCGCUCGAUAAGGACCGGCCGGGCGCCAGCCGGCGUCUCCAACCUUUUUUUCUCAGGUUGACCUCGGAUCAGGUAGGGAUACCCGCUGAACUUAAGC
rnacentral:misc_RNA from 1 species